rnacentral:rRNA from 1 species
UGGGGAAUUUUGCGCAAUGGGCGAAAGCCUGACGCAGCGACGCCGCGUGGGUGACGAAGGCCCUCGGGUUGUAAAGCCCUGUGGGGAGGGAAGAAUAAGGGGCGGCUAACAUCCGCACCGAUGACGGUACCUCCUUAGCAAGCACCGGCUAACUCUGUGCCAGCAGCCGCGGUAAGACAGAGGGUGCAAACGUUGUUCGGAAUUACUGGGCGUAAAGCGCGUGUAGGCGGCUACGCAAGUCGGAUGUGAAAGCCCUUGGCUCAACUGAGGAAGUGCAUUCGAAACUGGGUAGCUCG